rnacentral:rRNA from 1 species
UGGGGAAUAUUGCACAAUGGGCGAAAGCCUGAUGUAGCAACGCCGCGUGCGGGAUGACGGCCUUCGGGUUGUAAACCGCUUUCAGCAGGGACGAAGGUUUUCUGACGGUACCUGCAGAAGAAGCACCGGCUAACUACGUGCCAGCAGCCGCGGUGAUACGUAGGGUGCGAGCGUUGUCCGGAAUUAUUGGGCGUAAAGAGCUUGUAGGCGGUCCGUUGCGUCGGAAGUGAGAACUCAGGGCUUAACCCUGAGCCUGCUUUCGAUGCGGGCGGACUUGAGGGAUGUAGGGGAGAACGGAAUUCCUGGUGGAGCGGUGGAAUGCGCAGAUAUCAGGAGGAACACCAGUGGCGAAGGCGGUUCUCUGGACAUUUCCUGACGCUGAGAAGCGAAAGCGUGGGGAGCAAACAGGCUUAGAUACCCUGGUAGUCCACGCCGUAAACGGUGGGCACUAGGUGUGGGACCCAUUCCACGGGUUCCGUGCCGUAGCUAACGCAUUAAGUGCCCCGCCUGGGGAGUACGGCCGCAAGGCU